UACGAAGGGGCUAGCGUUGCUCGGAAUUACUGGGCGUAAAGCGCACGUAGGCGGCUUCUAAGUCGGGGGUGAAAUCCUGGAGCUCAACUCCAGAACUGCCUUCGAUACUGGAAAGCUCGAGUCCGGGAGAGGUGAGUGGAACUGCGAGUGUAGAGGUGAAAUUCGUAGAUAUUCGCAAGAACACCAGUGGCGAAGGCGGCUCACUGGCCCGGUACUGACGCUGAGGUGCGAAAGCGUGGGGAGCAAACAGG
rnacentral:rRNA from 1 species